GAAAAGAAUUAGAAAUAC
rnacentral:tRNA from 1 species